CCUACGGGAGGCAGCAGUGGGGAAUAUUGGGCAAUGGAGGCAACUCUGACCCAGCAACGCCGCGUGAAUGAUGAAGGUCUUCGGAUUGUAAAGUUCUGUGAUGGGGGAUGAACACAAUGACGGUACCCCAAUAGCAAGCCACGGCUAACGACGUGCCAGCAGCCGCGGUAAUACGUAGGUGGCAAGCGUUAUCCGGAAUGACUGGGCGUAAAGGGUGCGUAGGUGGUUUAGUAAGUUGGCGGUGAAAUUCCGGGGCUCAACCUCGGCGCUACCGCAAAAACUAGUAGCCUUGAGUGCAGGGGGGGUAAGUGGAAUUCCUAGUGUAGCGGUGGAAUGCGUAGAUAUUAGGAGGAACAUCAGGGGCGAAGGCGACUUACUGGACUGUAACUGACACUGAGGCACGAAAGCGUGGGGAGCAAACAGGAUUAGAUACCCCAGUAGUC
rnacentral:rRNA from 1 species